rnacentral:rRNA from 1 species
GAGUUUGAUCGUGGCUCAGAUUGAACGCUGGCGGCAUGCUUUACACAUGCAAGUCGAACGGCAGCGCGGGGCAACCUGGCGGCGAGUGGCGAACGGGUGAGUAAUAUAUCGGAACGUACCCAAGAGUGGGGGAUAACGUAGCGAAAGUUACGCUAAUACCGCAUACGAUCUAAGGAUGAAAGUGGGGGAUCGCAAGACCUCAUGCUCCUGGAGCGGCCGAUAUCUGAUUAGCUAGUUGGUGAGGUAAAGGCUCACCAAGGCGACGAUCAGUAGCUGGUCUGAGAGGACGACCAGCCACACUGGAACUGAGACACGGUCCAGACUCCUACGGGAGGCAGCAGUGGGGAAUUUUGGACAAUGGGCGCAAGCCUGAUCCAGCAAUGCCGCGUGAGUGAAGAAGGCCUCGGUUGUAAGUACGUCUUUGUUCUA